UACGUAGGGGGCGAGCGUUGUCCGGAUUUAUUGGGCGUAAAGGGCGCGUAGGCGGCAUGCCAAGCGUGUGGUGAAAGCCCGGGGCUCAACCCCGGGUCGGCCGUGCGGACUGGCGUGCUCGAGCACUGUAGGGGCGGGUGGAAUUCCGGGUGUAGCGGUGGAAUGCGUAGAGAUCCGGAAGAACACCCGUGGCUAAGGCGGCUCUCUAGUACGGUACUGACGCUGAGACGCGAAAGCGUGGGGAGCGAACAGG
rnacentral:rRNA from 1 species